GAUGAACGCUGGCGGCGUGCCUAACACAUGCAAGUCGAACGGAGAUUACGGACGGAAGUGUUCGGAUGGAAGACUGUAAUUCUUAGUGGCGGACGGGUGAGUAACGCGUGGGCAACCUGCCCUAUACAGGGGGAUAGCAGCUGGAAACGGCUGGUAAGACCGCAUAAGUCGGCGAGACCGCAUGGUUUUGCCGGGAAAUGAGCAAUCAGGUAUAGGAUGGGCCCGCGUCCGAUUAGCCAGUUGGCAGGGUAAAAGCCUACCAAAGCAACGAUCGGUAGCCGGGCUGAGAGGUCGGACGGCCACGUUGGGACUGAGGCACGGCCCAAACUCCUACGGGAGGCAGCAGUGGGGGAUAUUGCACGAUGGAGCAAACUCUGAUGCAGCGACGCCGCGUGAGUGAAGAAGUAUUUCGGUAUGUAAAGCUCUAUCAGCAGGGAAGAUGAUGACGGUACCUGACUAAGAAGCCCCGGCUAACUACGUG
rnacentral:rRNA from 1 species